rnacentral:rRNA from 1 species
UACGGAGGAUUCAAGCGUUAUCCGGAUUUAUUGGGUUUAAAGGGUGCGUAGGCGGUCGGAUAAGUUAGAGGUGAAAUCCCGAGGCUCAACUUCGGAAUUGCCUCUGAUACUGUUCGGCUAGAGAGUAGUUGCGGUAGGCGGAAUGUAUGGUGUAGCGGUGAAAUGCAUAGAUAUCACGCAGAACCCCGAUUGCGAAGGCAGCUUACCAAACUAUAUCUGACGUUGAGGCACGAAAGCGUGGGUAGCAAACAGG